AUGCCUAGUACGGCGAGUGAAGCGGCAACAGCUCAAAUUUGAAAGCUGGCUCCGGCCCGCAUUGUAAUUUGCAGAGGAUGCUUUUGGCGAGGUGCCUUCCGAGUUCCCUGGAACGGGACGCCAUAGAGGGUGAGAGCCCCGUAUGGAUGGACACCAGACCUGUGUAAAGCUCCUUCAACGAGUCGAGUAGUUUGGGAAUGCUGCUCUAAAUGGGAGGUAAAUCUCUUCUAAAGCUAAAUACCGGCCAGAGACCGAUAGCGCACAAGUAGAGUGAUCGAAAGAUGAAAAGCACCUUGAAAAGGGGGUUAAACAGUACGUGAAAUUGUUGAAAGGGAAGCGCUUGUGACCAGACUUGCGCCGGGCAGCUCAUCAGGGGUUCUCCCCUGUGCACUCUGCCCGGCUCAGGCCAGCAUCGGUUCUCGUGGGAGGAUAAGAACAGUGGGAACGUGGCCCCCUCUCGGGGGGGUGUUAUAGCCCACUGUACGAUACUCUCGUGGGGACCGAGGUUCGCGCUCCGCAAGGAUGCUGGCGUAAUGGUCAUCAGCGACCCGUCUAA
rnacentral:rRNA from 1 species